CUGUUUUGUUAAAUAUUAGAAACCUUUCAUUUCAUCUGCUUUUCGUGUAUUUUGCCCCUUUUGUGCUUUCAAUAAAAACCGAAUAAACCACAUAACAGCCAGACUACCUACCAUGGAAGUGUGCAGCUCAUUAACCACCGUGGUUAACCACAGUUAUUUGACGAAUGGCUGGGUGGUUGCCCUUCGUUUGAACGAACACGUGGCGGCGGCCGUUUUAAAUUGUCGAACACCCAGCGGUAUUUUGUUGUCGACAGUGUGGAACUAUUUUCGGCCUUAAUUUCAUACGAACACCGCUGAGGCUAAUCAACAUCCAUCCCAUUCGUCUCCAGUUGUACGAACACCGUGCCGUUCGGUACAUUGACUAUACGAAUGAGACCCAGGGCCGUUUUUAGCACGGGGCAGUUGCCCCGGGCCCAGUUGCUCCUGGGGGGCCCCAGAGCAGCUGCCCCGUGGGCCCGUGAUUUCAGCAGCCCCCAUGUACCCAGCGGUGCAGUCGCACCGGCCCGCCAACUAAGGAGGCCCCCUGGGCGGCCCAUGCAC